rnacentral:lncRNA from 10 species
CAUAUAGGAAGUCACAUGCACUCCUUACCCACUAGGGAAGAAGAGAGCCCUUCAUGCUGGUGGGAUCAGGAGAGGGAGAGAUCCAUGGGCAAUGAGUGAAGAAGAGUGACGACCUUGACUGGAUUUCUCAAGAACACAGUGGCUCCACUAAUCUGGCUCUUGACCUUGGGGCGUGGGAUUUUAAACUUUGACUGAAACCCAAAAAAAUCUAAGUCUACUUCUCCAAAACUUGAUGAAAAGAAAGAGAAAUGGUUAACUUUAAUUGGAAAGCUUGGUAAAGAAGGGGUCAGAAGGAAAUGAAACCAGAAGGCCUGCCCUCCUAUAGAGAGAGCCAGAUGAACAAAUUAGGCUCUACCAAAAGGAGAGAUUUGGUGGAUCCAAUUUUAUCCGAAGUUUAGACUUCAGAUUCAUGCCCCCUCUGCAAAGUAGAAACAAAGCUGAUUCUAUUUGAAAAAUAUAGAAAACAAAAGACAUAAAUAAAUAACCUUAAAAAUUCUUGGCCAAAUAUCACUAAAGUUAGACUAAAAAGAAGGUAAGCUUUUAACUUUGUAAAACUGGAGAAAACUGAAAAAUCACUGUGUAUCACAAGAUUAAAACAAUAACAACAACACAAUGACAGCUCAAGAAGCAGGUGCUGGGUUAUAGUUGUAUAAUCUUUUUACAUGUGGAAUGCCUGCUGGUAAAGGGGGAACCUUCAGGGGCUUAGGCUUCCACCAGCUGCCUUCUGACGGAUCUGGCAGCAGAUGGAAGCCUGAUGCUCUCCAGCCUUCUCCUGUCGCACCCUGCAUGUGAGAGUGGGGGCCCAGGCUAUGGGAAGGAACCAGAGAGGAGGGCAAGCAGUGGCUGUAUUUCUGCAUGGAGAGGUAAGAAUCUCUACAUUUAUUAAUAAGGAGGAGAAAGGAGAGAAAAAAUUCCCAAGUGAGAAGCUUCAUUUUGUAAAAACAACUUAUACUGAGCUCUAGAAAUUGAAGGGGGAAGUAAACAAAAAUUUUCAGUUGGAAACAUUCUUAUUUAUGUUUGUUCUCUACCAUAUUUAUUCCAGAACAACCAGAUUACUCUAGGGGAGGAAUAGCAAAUAAAGCAAUUUGUGAAUCUUGGAAGUUAUGUUGGUCAGUAGAAAAUCUCUGUGUGAAGUAAUUUAAAUACUGCUCCUGAAGAAUCUUUAAGAGUCAUAACCUAGGGCCAGGUACGGUGGCUCACGACUGUACCUGGGAGGCUGAGGUGGGCGGAUCACUUGAGGCAAGGAGUUCGAGACCAGUCUGGCCAAGAUGCUGAAACCCUGUCUCUACUAAAAACACAAAAAUUAGUUGGGUGUGGUGGCACACACCUGUAAUUCCAGAUAUUUGGGAGGCUGAGGCAUGAGAAUCGCUUGAACCUGGGAGGCAGAGGCUGCAGUGAGCUGAGAUUGCACCACUGCACUCCAGUCUGGGUGACAGAGCAAGACUCUGUAAAAAAAAAAAAAAAAAAAAAAAAGUAAUAACAUAAAAAUCUGUUAUUUUUAUUGUCCAUUUUGUUAUGUCUGGGCAUAAAACUUGGGUUGCUUUUCAUCACUUAUGUAUUACUUCAAAAACAUCAGCUACUAUUUUGAGGUAUAGAUAACAGAUACCUAUCACAUCCAUGAAAAGUCAUUUUCUUCGGUAAUCACCUACAUUUCAUACAGGGGAAAGUAUUUUUUUCUAUACCUAUAAAUAAUAAAAUGAAGUUCUGAUAGAACCGAAUCUUUCUGAGAAUGUGAACAGGCAAUCUUGUGAACAUUUUAACUGGGGACUUUCUAAUCUCUCCAAUUUGUUUCUCCUAUCAUAUAAAGCUUUCCCCCUCCCCUCAAUUUAAGAAGGAAUUUGUCAUGGAAACCACAGGCCAGAGCGCAUCAGCAGAGUGACUAUCCACUAAAGAAAUCCUCUCAUUUUUCAUGUAAUGGAAACUUCCAAGAAAGGGAAGUGUAUACUCAAAUACUACUCUUUCUCCAAAAGAAAUCUGUUCUGAUUCUCUGGUAUACCUCUAACGAAAAUGGAACAAAUGAUGGCUACUUAUUGAGAGAUAAUUACUCCACAAGCAAUCGGUCAGAUCCUUUCUCAUAACAAAAUUAGCUCAUUUGUGUAUCCUUUCUACAUAAUUUACUGAGCAUGUUAUGUUCUCCACAGUGCAUUAAGCAAGGGAGCGAGCAGACUGGUCUCGUUUAAGUGAGAAGCUACUUGUGAUUCUAAUUUGACUCAGCGGUUGAUUAUUUAAAGUCUGAUAUUGCCAGCUUUCAAGUGCAUUGCUGGUGAUGCAAAAGUAAUGCCUGAUGUAUCUGGACUCUAAAACUUUUAUUACUUUUGGUUGUUUUCAAGUUACAUGGCAUCCCACUUGGAAAGAAGAUAUACUGUCUAGGAAAUAAUGCAGUACCAAAACACAGUUGACACACACUUACUCCCUGCUAUACUUUCAACCUAGCCUGCCUGAUUCUUGCUCCCUCACCACAGAUAUGUUCACUUGGGAAACGAAAACCUGUCUUUAAUAUGAGUCAACCUAAGAAAGCAGCAUGUGAGGGAUAAAUAGUCUUCUAAAAUCAUGUAAUACGUUUCAAAAUCAAACGUAACUUUUUUGUUCAAUAUUUGAUAAUAUCUGAGCAAU